AGAUUUCUACUUGGAGACAAAAAAUACAAUUUUAUAUGUUCAAAAGUUCAAAAAACAAAUCGAAAAACUGCAUAAUGACUGUCCAGUCUUAAAAACAAACGAUUUAUUUGGAUUCCACCACCUGCUCAUAUUGCUAUGGUUCAAGGCAAACAAAAUAUAAUACAAAUUAUUAAAACUGCUGUGGGUAUUGUCUGUAUCCAACCCAAAAAUUUAACUUUUGUACUUUAAAGGCCAACAAUCAUUUGGCAAAGGUGACAAUAUGUGUGAAUAUUUUACAUUUCUGCUUAGUAAAUUAAUUGGUAAAAGUAGGCAUCAAGUUUAUAAUAAAGGUACAAAUAUCUACAAUAAAGAGCAACCUUAUUUGUCUGACAGUAUACAUGCCAUACAUGUUUUGCUUAUUAAAAAUAAAAAUCAAAAUUUACAAUAUGAUAUCAGUUAAUUAGACAGUAUUUUGAUAUUUGAACCCUCAAAUGGACUUGGAUCUAUUUUUUCAAAUAUAACAUUGUUUUAUAAUUCUUGCUGCUACUGGGUCUCACUGAAUGCAUAAUGUUUUCAUGCACAUCUGGUUGCCUUGUGUUGCACAAACAGGACUUUUUUUUCUUAGUUCCUUUAAUAAAAUAUACAUGUAUUUAUUUUGAUACCUACAGAAGAUCCCACAAAGUAGUGGUUUAAUUUCUAGUGUUUUGUGAAUGAAAACAAGUUGCGCCCCAAAUAAGGAUAUAAAGAUCACUUAUUUCAUAAAAAUGCAAUCCUCAUGUAAAUAUGUAUUUAGUGGUAAAACCCACAAUUUAAUUUUAUUACUCAUUAAUAUUCUUUAGAAUUAACAAAAUAAUAUUUUUAUCAUACAGAAUAGCAUUGUCUUAUGAUUCAUUUAGGCUUAAAAUAACCAGAAACCUAAUUAUACUGACCAGGUGUUUUAUUUUAAUAGUACAACAUUUAUUUGGAACCAUUUCAAUACUUACCUACUAUCGACUUAGUGUAGUAUUUUGUUCCAAGUAUAACCGGCUAAGUUGAAGGACAAACUAAAAAUAAAACCCAAUAACAAUGGAUAUAGUAAAUAAUUAAUAUGAUUUAUUAGACAGGUGGCACCGCAACAAGCGAAAAACGUUAAGAACACGCUGCGCAUCGGUUCCACUGCGCAGCAGACGCUCGGCACUUUUCGGGGCGGAUCUCUACCGGAUGUGUCGGUUCCCCCCCGACCCCACCAAGCGGGUGGGGCGGCCAAAGUGGCGUCGGCAUCCAUUACAAAGGUGACGCAUGCGUUGCUUCGCUCCUCCCCUUUUUUUAUACAUAUAGGCCUGAUGUAUCAUUUCGGUUUUAAAAAUUAUUGUACUUUUUUUUUUAAAUAUAUUUUGCAUGUUUCCCAUGUA